UUUAAAGAGAGUUUGAUCCUGGCUCAGGACGAACGCUGGCGGCGUGCCUAAUACAUGCAAGUCGAACGAACGGAGGAAGAGCUUGCUCUUCCAAUGUUAGUGGCGGACGGGUGAGUAACACGUGGGCAACCUGCCUGUAAGUUGGGGAUAACUCCGGGAAACCGGGGCUAAUACCGAAUGAUAAAAUGUGGCGCAUGCCACGCUUUUGAAAGAUGGUUUCGGCUAUCGCUUACAGAUGGGCCCGCGGUGCAUUAGCUAGUUGGUAGGGUAAUGGCCUACCAAGGCCACGAUGCAUAGCCGACCUGAGAGGGUGAUCGGCCACACUGGGACUGAGACACGGCCCAGACUCCUACGGGAGGCAGCAGUAGGGAAUCUUCCGCAAUGGACGAAAGUCUGACGGAGCAACGCCGCGUGUAUGAAGAAGGUUUUCGGAUCGUAAAGUACUGUUGUUAGAGAAGAA
rnacentral:rRNA from 2 species